rnacentral:snRNA from 1 species
ACAGGAGGAUCACUUAGCCCAGGAGUUUGAGGCUAUAGUGAGCAAUGAUUAUGAUCGUGCCACUGCACUCCAGCCUGGGCAACAGAG